UGAUUUUAUCCUUCGCGAAGAACAAGUAAAGAAUAUGUAAUUGUUAAGCAAUGCGAUAACUAUGCGAAUUUCAUUAUUUCAAGAAAUAUUGACGAAUAACGGAGCGAUUGCCACAUUGUAUGAAUAUUAUGAAACGCCACAGAAGCAUUUGCGAUGAACGAUGCCAGGGCCAGACUCGUCGUACUCCUGCUUCGAGAUCCACAUCUGUUGGAAGGUAGAUAGGGAAGCGAGGAUCGAACCGCCGAUCCAUACGGAGUAUUUCCUCUCGGGAGGUGCUAUGAUCUUGAUCUUGAUAGUCGAGGGUGCGAGGGCAGUGAUUUCCUUUUGCAUACGAUCGGCGAUACCAGGGUACAUGGUGGUACCGCCGGAUAGCACGGUAUUGGCGUAGAGAUCCUUACGAAUGUCGACGUCGCACUUCAUUAUGGAGUUGUAGACGGUCUCGUGAAUGCCGCAGGAUUCCAUGCCCAAGAAGGAAGGCUGGAAGAGUGCUUCUGGGCAACGGAACCUCUCGUUGCCGAUGGUGAUGACCUGUCCGUCGGGCAAUUCGUAGCUCUUCUCGAGGGAAGUGCUGGCUGCUGCGGUCGCCAUUUCCUGUUCAAAGUCCAAUGCCACGUAGCAAAGCUUCUCCUUGAUGUCGCGAACGAUUUCUCGCUCGGCCGUGGUCGUAAAGGAGUAUCCUCUUUCGGUCAGGAUCUUCAUGAGAUAGUCGGUCAAGUCACGACCGGCCAAGUCCAAACGUAGGAUGGCGUGAGGAAGGGCAUAACCUUCGUAGAUAGGGACGGUGUGAGAUACGCCAUCGCCAGAAUCCAAUACGAUACCCGUGGUACGACCGGAGGCGUAUAGGGAAAGGACCGCCUGAAUGGCGACGUACAUGGCCGGACUGUUGAAGGUCUCGAACAUAAUUUGUGUCAUCUUUUCGCGAUUAGCUUUAGGGUUGAGCGGAGCUUCGGUAAGGAGAACGGGAUGUUCCUCCGGGGCCACGCGGAGUUCGUUGUAGAAGGUGUGAUGCCAGAUCUUCUCCAUGUCGUCCCAAUUGGUGAUAAUGCCGUGUUCUAUAGGAUAUUUUAAGGAUACUUUCGAUAGUUUGUUCGACUUAUUAUUUACGAUUACGUACCUGAUGACGUGGUCUACCGACGAUACUAGGAAAGACAGCUCGUGGUGCAUCGUCUCCUGCGAAUCCCGCUUUGCACAUACCCGAACCAUUGUCCACGACGAGCGCCGCAACAUCAUCGUCGCACAUCUUGGAGGACUGUUGUUAGUGUUUCUUUCUGCGAAUGAAUCAAUGAAAUUAAUCGCUUCCUCUUUUCUUUUACAUUCGCUUACGACAAUCGCUUUGGUAGAAUACGAAAGUUCGAUAGGUAGUAGUUAUUCGUUGCAUUUCGUAACAAAGAAAAACUGUUUAUAUCUAGAUACUGGAUAUUAAGAAAUAGUAGAAACGAUAUUACCGAAAACGUUAAACCGAAUCAUUGAAAUAUCAUUUUACUAUCCACAGGCAGAUUACUAGCUGCAACUAAAUUUCCAAGUAGCCUCAUGCAUCAUGGUAUCCUUUUAUUUCGUCACGUAGCACCAUGCCAGAUUUGCUAAACUACACUUCGCACAAAUUUCAAUCACGGUGAAAAUGUGGGUAAUAGUAAGCCAUUGGUUAGUACGAACCGACGAUUGCCCGAUACACUUGAUCGCGAUCACGAGAAUCACAAGAUCGACGAUCUACGCGUAAUUAAGUUCGAAGAAGAAGGAAAGAAUAGUAGAAAGCGUAGAGCAAGAAGGAGACGUGGAAAAAAGAAGAAGAAGAAAAAGAAGAAGAAGCGUUGUCUAAAGCAAGGGACGAACGUUGUGCAAGAGACCGAAAGAGGCGAGUGGCGCACCGUCUGCUCUGUGGGGUACCUUUAUCCAUAUCGGUUCGAAGCCGAAAAUAGCGAUCCGCCCCUUAGAUGGAAAUCUGCUGUACGUUAACGCGCGCAUCGGUCCGCUGCCGCCGCCGCCGCCACCACCACCGCCGCCGCCGCCGCCGCCACCACCACCACCACCACCACCACCACCACCACCACCACCACCACCACCACCACCACCACCGCCGCCGCCGCCGCCGCCGCCGUCGUCACCGUCGUCGCCGUCGCCGCAGCCGCCAUAGCCGCCACAGCCGUCGCCUAGUCCUUAAUCGCCCUAAGAGCGACGUCGAGAGGGAGACGCGGGUCGUCGCGACGCCGACGACGCGCUAUUCCCGACGGCUCCCGAAUCCAAAUAAGGACUCGUUACACCGCAGGGCCGUCCUCCCCGGGUGCUUUUCACCUAAACGAAGGUACCGAGAAUCGAUGGUACGCGUCCAGUUUAUGUUUUCCUCCCUUCUUUUAACUACCUUACAAUUCUUUUCUUUUUUCUUGUUGUUCUUUCUUUAUUCAUUUCUUUGUUUUUAGAAGUACUUGUUCUGUAAAAGAAAAGAAAAAAUGUAAAGAGCAACGUUCAAAGUAGGCUACGUUGCUGAUUGAUCUGGUUAAAGUCGUGCAUCUUCGUCAAAAUGAAACGUCAGUUGUCUUGUACGUAAUCAUAUAUUCUUCUUAUACUUUUUAUUAUUACUAUUAUUAUCAAACGAUUUUAUAUAAGAAUGAGUCGCGCGCAUUUUAUAUUUACAUAAAAAAUCAUGUCGCGUUCCUUAUUGUGCAAUGGCCUAACGAGGAUGAUAAAGAGGAUCCAAAUGUGAGAUAACACAGAUAAUUCGUGUUAGAACAUAUUCGAAAUUGGAAUACUCGAGAGAAUAUUGAUCUUUGUGGAAAAACAAUAAUCUCCUAAUAAUCAUUUCUCAUUUGGUGUCAUUAAAACGUACCGGGCGACGAGAAAUACUCGAUCCACCAUCGAGCCCUCUCCCCACUUUACCAUCUUGUAGUAGCAUCGAUGUUGACCGUCGAUUCGUCGGACAGAUUCGCUGACUUCGCAUUACUGAGUUUCAAUCUCGAAACGGCCACGUCUUUGCUAAUGUUCUUUUAAUGGUGCUUCUUCUUUUGCAUACGUUACGGUGACUAACUUAAAGAAGAUUUUUACGAAAAAAUGGGUGCAAAUCGAUCAUCUUUCCGCCAUAUGCGAGCAAGUACGAGGGUGAAUAUUUCCUGAGAUUAAAAUUAAAUUAUUAACGAUGAGUUCUCUUACAUUAAUACUAUCGUAUCGGUGAUAAAGCUUAUAUAUAUAUAUACACACGAAACAAUUGUUUCUUGAUAAUUCGAUUUCGAUGGAUAAAGUAUUCGUGAGAGAGUUAGAAUGUAACGUUAGAAUCUAAACCAUAUACGUAUCUUAUGCGUAUCUUAUUUCACUAAACAAACAUGCAAAGUAUUAGUUAUCGAAUGUAAGAUGACAUCGAUAUGAUACCGCUUUGCAUUUUAGACAAAUUAUAGACCUUGCGUAAAUUGUCCCAAGUCCUGAUUAAACGAUCUUUCUCUUUCACAAUGAAAUUUGCAGAUCAGACGAUAAAACUGGGACAAUGCAUCCGAAUGUUACUUUCUUCGUUGAAUAUGCAUACAGCCACUAAGAUGUUACCUGGAUUUUCAUUUUCACUGGGCAUUGGCUGAUGGAUCGUUGUUAACCACAUCGGUGAAAGACUUGAUGCAUCAUUAAGGACGUGAAAUCAUCGCUAGCCAGGAUUGACCCAGUUGCCUAUAAAACGAUAGGCGAGCGGCUUCAGCGUUGCAAAGUUAUUUCUGUGCGGCGGAUAGCUAAGUUUAGAUGGACGACCAACGGACGCUCCCUAAUAAGUUCAAGCAAUGUUUAUAGUAUCCGACGUCGCCCCGGCUCGGCCGUUAAGUGAAAAAGCAUAGCUCAUAUGCCCGUGCGUGCCAAAAUUACGCUAUGCUUUGAAAAGGAUCGCAGUAGCGUACGCGGCUAAAGACCUCGAUGUUUAAGACGAUACCUUGCUGCCAUAUUAAUUAAUUGCGCUUCUGGAAUUAAAUUCGCAAAUAGGGUGUGAAUCUAGCCUAAGAAAGCUUAAUUAUUUUGCGAGCGAAACAGUUCUCUCUCUCUCUCUCUCUCUCUCUCUAUCAAUCCGCUAUCAUAUAGUUUUAAUUAUAAAUAUUGUUGACGAAGAGAGAGCGAAAGAGAGCUCGACAAAGUCGAAAGUAACUGCGCGAAUACUCAUCCGAAGAGAUUCGUUAAACGCCAGCAUUAAGUUGAUUCUUUCUCCGCUUUGAUAAAAAAAUUAAUCGCUGUCGAAAGUAUCAUUUGGUUAAAGUCAAGUCAGUCGAACGAUUUUUCCUUGAAUUUCAUUUUCGUUUCUAUUUGUCUCGUUAAAACUUAAAGAAGAUGUUAUACAUUAAUAAGAACGGAUCUUACGGAUGAGAGAUCGUUAAAUCGUAUACAUGCAAGAAUGUUAUCUAAAUCCAUGUAAUAUCAUAGACGAGUGACUGGAGUAAGAUCGUUAGAAAGUAUCUUAGGGUUUAGUAUAUACGUACCGUGCACGAGACAGAGUUGGAGUGGCGUCUGUGCCUUUGGGCGUCGCGACGUCGAAUAUAUGCUCUCGUCAGUACACCCCCGCAUUUUCGUGGAAUGGUGCGUGCUCGACAGGCACGAAAAAGGCUUGCCUCGCGGGCGUCGCGACGCUCGCCGAACUAGGCGGUUGCGAGAUCUAAGCGAGAGAUCAAUGUAUAGCUUCAAAAACUUCUACAUUUCGAUCCUUCUUAUGAUCGGUUCUCACGUAGUUAACAAUUUUUUUCUUUCUUUUUUAUAUAUAAUACAUCAAAUUAAUUGAAAAUCACUUAACACUUAAUCCGAUCCAAAAUUACAUAUAAAACUAUACGGACGAAUACUUAUAUUUCUCUUCUCAGGUGGAUAUGAUUUUUUACGAGUGAAUUUUUCGCGGGCGAUUACUUAUUGUUAUUUUCAGCUACAUGCAUUAUGGAAGAACGAUAUCGUUCUUUUCUAUAUUUUGUUAAUAACGACAUUAUUUCUUUCCCCCCUCUUAACAAAAAAAAAAUGUAUCAUCAAUGAUCGAUCUUUUUCAAUUUUCCAAUUAAAAGUCAUAAUUGCAAGUAGAGCUUCUCAUCUAAUCUCUCGGUUAAAUGGAUAAUUCAUUCUUUUUAUUAAUUGUGAAAGAUCCUCUACAAAACUAUCGAAAUAAACUUUCAUAGACCGUUUAUUUACUCUAAAAAUAAUAACGCGUAUAUUACUGGGACAUGAAUUAAUUUAUACUUUUAUUUGACGCUAAGCUAUUGUAAAACAACUUUCUUUUUUGUGCAAAAUAAGCAAAUGAAUACUUGCUAUAGCUGAUUACUUAGCACUUUCAUUGAAAAGAGCAAAGAAUAACGAAUAAGUAAUCAACAAUUUAACAGCAGAGCUUUAUUUUUAAAGAUGCUUUUUUAAAGAUUUAUAAAAAGGAUCCUCUUUUUAUAGUUACGCCUCUCUUAUACGUAUAUGAAGUGCCAUUCGAUAGACAUACCAUUUUCACAAAUGCACUAAUAUACAAGUGAUUUUAUUUUUUAAUGCUAAUACGUGCGUGGAUACUUUUAUUUAUAUAUAAUCUGUCUAACCAAUUAACUAAUAUACACGAUCAAACGAUUGAUGGUUGGACGAUGAUCGCCGAGAUACAUAAAUAUCAUAAGAAGCUACUGGAGAUCGAUGUGAGUGACUGUUCGUAAAAAUAGAUUCCUCGUACCUAAUUUGGAUGCAUGGGAGAGCCAAGUUUUGAUAAAAGCUACCUCGUGUGGCGAGACAGCUUUUUUGGACAUUGCUUCGCAAUUACCCAGAUGUGCUUUUGCUUGAGAGCAUGACUAUCGAUUCUGGUGAAAAAGUGAUUAACAAUUAUGACGAAUACAUAUCGAUGACAAAUAUAUUAUUGCACGUUUUAAUUCGGUUUAACUUUGAAAGGAGUUUCUAAUUCAGGACUACAAUUGGGCUACGGUAAAGAACGCGAUUAUAUAGGAAAAAUUUAAUUCUAAUAAACUAAAAAUAGAUAUUACGCAAUGUGCGCGCAUCUCAAGAGUAACACUUAGCUGAAUACAUAGGGACAAAAUAGAGUUUGUAAAGGAAGUCUUCUGAAUUGCUUUAUCGAACAAUAAAACAUCGUGGAAACGUGCGUUAAAAUCCAGUAAACGUCCAAAGGAUUUAUACAAGGAGAGGAUAUAAUAUCGUGUUUUAGUAUUAAAUCACAUUUAUAAUGUCGUGUGAAAUGUAUAUUUAGGUUUAUAUUUGACAUUGUUUGUCAAUUGUAUUGCAACGAUGCAACAAUGAUUUAGUAUAUAAUAUUUACAAAGUAAAUUAUAAUAGGAUCAGAUGCACUUUAGAAGCCUUGCUUCGUUAACAACCCAGAUAGAAUGAAUAUGAACUUAAUUGUACGAUUACAGACAAUAUAUUUAACAUUAAGAUAGUAAGCGAUCUUAAUGGCGACAUAAUGGUCAACUAAGCGUGGCACCUUCCAAAGCUCAUUUUAACAUAAUGAUUAUCUUUGGAAAUCUCUGAUUACACUGACAUUCGAUGCGAUAAUGUUCACUUCGACUUUCCUUCUUGCAAACUUAAAAUAGAUCGAGUAGAUCGUACUCUUAUUUGGAAAAAAAAAAAAGGAGAAAAAAAGGAAUCCCAAGGAAAUAUAUAACCUGAUAACGAAAAGUCGAAUGCUGAUGUGUCGAUGAUUUUCUUUCGUAACAGCACAAUUGUUCGUAUAAAUUCGAUCA